rnacentral:rRNA from 1 species
AGCGAACGCUGGCGGCAUGCCUAACACAUGCAAGUCGAACGAUUGCCUUCGGGUGAUAGUGGCGCACGGGUGCGUAACGCGUGGGAAUCUGCCCUUAGGUUCGGAAUAUCAGCUGGAAACGGCUGCUAAUACCGGAUGAUAUCGCGAGAUCAAAGAUUUAUCGCCUGAGGAUGAGCCCGCGAUGGAUUAGGUAGUUGGUGGGGUAAAGGCCUACCAAGCCGACGAUCCAUAGCUGGUCUGAGAGGAUGAUCAGCCACACUGGGACUGAGACACGGCCCAGACUCCUACGGGAGGCAGCAGUGGGGGAUAUUGGACAAUGGGGGCAAGCCUGAUCCAGCAAUGCCGCGUGAGUGAUGAAGGCCCUAGGGUUGUAAAGCUCUUUUAACCGGGAAGAUAAUGACUGUACCGGGAGAAUAAGCCCCGGCUAACUACGUG